rnacentral:rRNA from 1 species
AAUCAACGCUGGCGGCGUGCCUAACACAUGCAAGUCGCACGAGAAAGGGGAGCAAUCCCUGAGUAAAGUGGCGCACGGGUGAGUAACACGUGAAUCAUCUACCUCCGAGUGGGGAAUAACUGAGAGAAAUCUUAGCUAAUACCGCAUAACACUUACGAGUCAAAGCAGCAAUGCGCUUGGAGAGGAGUUCGCGGCCGAUUAGUUAGUUGGCGGGGUAANGGCCCACCAAGACGAUGAUCGGUAUCCGGCCUGAGAGGGCGCACGGACACACUGGAACUGAAACACGGUCCAGACUCCUACGGGAGGCAGCAGUGGGGAAUUUUGUCGCAAUGGGGGAAACCCGUGACGCAGCAACGCCGCGUGGAGGAUGAAGUAUCUUGGUACGUAAACUC